AUGUUCAACGAGCAGGUGCCAUCAUACUUUUGUACAUCUCUGUAUGUACAGCAGCACGUAUAUCACACGUGUCAGACUCCCACUCCAUGUUCAUCAACACGUGUCAGACUCCCACUCCAUGUUCAUCAACACGUGUCAGACUCCCACUCCAUGUUCAUCAACACGUGUCAGACUCCCACUCCAUGUUCAUCAACACGUGUCAGACUCCCACUCCAUGUUCAUCACACGUGUCAGACUCCCACUCCAUGUUCAUCACACGUGUCAGACUCCCACUCCAUGUUCAUCAACACGUGUCAGACUCCCACUCCAUGUUCAUCAACACGUGUCAGACUCCCACUCCAUGUUCAUCAACACGUGUCAGACUCCCACUCCAUGUUCAUCAACACGUGUCAGACUCCCACUCCAUGUUCAUCACACGUGUCAGACUCCCACUCCAUGUUCAUCAACACGUGUCAGACUCCCACUCCAUGUUCAUCAACACGUGUCAGACUCCCACUCCAUGUUCAUCAACACGUGUCAGACUCCCACUCCAUGUUCAUCAACACGUGUCAGACUCCCACUCCAUGUUCAUCAACACGUGUCAGACUCCCACUCCAUGUUCAUCAACACGUGUCAGACUCCCACUCCAUGUUCAUCAACACGUGUCAGACUCCCACUCCAUGUUCAUCAACACGUGUCAGACUCCCACUCCAUGUUCAUCACACGUGUCAGACUCCCACUCCAUGUUCAUCACACGUGUCAGACUCCCACUCCAUGUUCAUCACACGUGUCAGACUCCCACUCCAUGUUCAUCACACGUGUCAGACUCCCACUCCAUGUUCAUCACACGUGUCAGACUCCCACUCCAUGUUCAUCACACGUGUCAGACUCCCACUCCAUGUUCAUCACACGUGUCAGACUCCCACUCCAUGUUCAUCACACGUGUCAGACUCCCACUCCAUGUUCAUCACACGUGUCAGACUCCCACUCCAUGUUCAUCACACGUGUCAGACUCCCACUCCAUGUUCAUCACACGUGUCAGACUCCCACUCCAUGUUCAUCACACGUGUCAGACUCCCACUCCAUGUUCAUCAACACGUGUCAGACUCCCACUCAGACUCCCACCAUCUCUCUCUCCCUCUCUCUUUGUCUCUCUAUCUCUUCCCAUCUCUCUCUCUCUUCCCAUCUCUCUCUCUCUCUCUCUUCCCAUCUCUCUCUCUCUAUCUCUUCCCAUCUCUCUCUCUCUUCCCAUCUCUCUCUCUCUCUCUCUUCCCAUCUCUCUCUCUCUCUCUCUUCCCAUCUCUCUCUCUCUAUCUCUUCCCAUCUCUCUCUCUCUUCCCACCUCUCUCUCUCUCUCUUCCCAUCUCUCUCUCUCUUUCUUCCCAUCUCUCUCUCUUUCUUCCCAUCUCUCUCUCUCUCUCUCUCUUCCCAUCUCUCUCUCUCUCUCUUCCCAUCUCUCUCUCUCUUCCCAUCUCUCUCUCUCUUUCUUCCCAUCUCUCUCUCUUUCUUCCCAUCUCUCUCUCUCUCUCUCUUCCCAUCUCUCUCUCUCUCUUUCUUCCCAUCUCUCUCUCUCUCUUCCCAUCUCUCUCUCUCUCUCUUCCCAUCUCUCUCUCUCUUCCCAUCUCUCUCUCUCUUUCUUCCCAUCUCUCUCUCUUUCUUCCCAUCUCUCUCUCUCUCUCUCUUCCCAUCUCUCUCUCUCUCUUUCUUCCCAUCUCUCUCUCUCUCUUUCUUCCCACCUCUCUCUCUCUCUUCCCAUCUCUCUCUCUCUCUCUUCCCAUCUCUCUCUCUCUCUCUCUUCCCAUCUCUCUCUCUCUUCCCACCUCUCUCUCUCUCUCUCUUCCCAUCUCUCUCUCUCUCUUCCCAUCUCUCUCUCUUUCUUCCCAUCUCUCUCUCUCUCUCUCUCUCUCUCUCUCUUCCCAUCUCUCUCUCUCUUCCCACCUCUCUCUCUCUCUUCCCAUCUCUCUCUCUCUCUUCCCAUCUCUCUCUCUUUCUUCCCAUCUCUCUCUCUCUCUCUCUCUCUCUCUCUCUCUCUCUUCCCAUCUCUCUCUCUCUCUCUUCCCACCUCUCUCUCUUUCUUCCCAUCUCUCUCUCUCUCUCUUCCCAUCUCUCUCUCUCUCUUUCUUCCCAUCUCUCUCUCUCUCUCUCUCUCUCUCUCUCUCUCUCUCUCUCUUCCCAUCUCUCUCUCUCUCUCUUCCCACCUCUCUCUCUUUCUUCCCAUCUCUCUCUCUCUCUCUCUUCCCAUCUCUCUCUCUCUCUCUUCCCAUCUCUCUCUCUAUCUCUCUCUCUCUCUCUCUUCCCAUCUCUCUCUCUCUAUCUCUCUCUCUCUCUUCCCAUCUCUCUCUCUCUCUCUCUUCCCAUCUCUCUCUCUCUCUUUCUUCCCAUCUCUCUCUCUCUCUCUCUCUCUCUCUUCCCAUCUCUCUCUCUCUCUCUUCCCACCUCUCUCUCUUUCUUCCCAUCUCUCUCUCUCUCUCUUCCCAUCUCUCUCUCUCUCUUUCUUCCCAUCUCUCUCUCUCUCUCUCUCUCUCUCUCUUCCCAUCUCUCUCUCUCUCUCUUCCCACCUCUCUCUCUUUCUUCCCAUCUCUCUCUCUCUCUCUCUUCCCAUCUCUCUCUCUCUCUCUUCCCAUCUCUCUCUCUCUCUCUCUCUCUCUCUCUCUCUCUCUCUCUCUUCCCACCUCUCUCUCUUUCUUCCCACCUCUCUCUCUCUCUCUUCCCAUCUCUCUCUCUCUUCCCACCUCUCUCUCUCUCUCUCUUCCCAUCUCUCUCUCUCUCUUCCCAUCUCUCUCUCUUUCUUCCCAUCUCUCUCUCUCUCUCUCUCUCUCUUCCCAUCUCUCUCUCUCUCUCUUCCCACCUCUCUCUCUUUCUUCCCAUCUCUCUCUCUCUCUCUCUCUCUUCCCAUCUCUCUCUCUCUCUUUCUUCCCAUCUCUCUCUCUCUCUCUCUCUCUCUCUCUCUCUUCCCAUCUCUCUCUCUCUCUCUUCCCACCUCUCUCUCUUUCUUCCCAUCUCUCUCUCUCUCUCUCUUCCCAUCUGUCUCUCUCUCUCUUCCCAUCUCUCUCUCUCUCUCUCUCUCUCUUCCCACCUCUCUCUCUUUCUUCCCACCUCUCUCUCUCUCUCUUCCCACCUCUCUCUCUUUCUUCCCACCUCUCUCUCUCUCUCUUCCCAUCUCUCUCUCUUUCUUCCCACCUCUCUCUCUCUCUCUCUUCCCACCUCUCUCUCUCCCUCUAUCUAUUAUCUUUCUUCCUCAAACACAUGCGCGCUGCAGCGUCCUGUACAGGAAGUUAUUGGUUGUGUAUGAGAUUAGUCAAGGUCACCUUUCCCCGGGAGAACAUGAACAUUCUCUCUAUUUCUUUAUCUCUCUAA
ensembl:lncRNA